UACGUAGGGGGCUAGCGUUGUCCGGAAUCAUUGGGCGUAAAGAGCGUGUAGGCGGUCCGGUAAGUCCGCUGUGAAAGUCGGGGGCUCAACCCUCGAAUGCCGGUGGAUACUGUCGGGCUAGAGUGCGGAAGAGGCGAGUGGAAUUCCCAGUGUAGUGGUGAAAUACGUAGAGAUUGGGAAGAACACCAGUGGCGAAGGCGGCUAUCUGGGACGGUUUCUGACGCUAAGGACGCGAAAGCGUGGGGAGCAAACAGG
rnacentral:rRNA from 1 species